rnacentral:ribozyme from 1 species
UUUGAGGGCUGUCGUUAAGACAUAGAAGUAGCCAGGGAACUAGAUUUGGCUUCCUGUCGCUAGAUUUUUUCUGAAAAAAAAAAAAAAAAAAAAAAA